GCAGCCGCGGUAAUACGUAGGUGGCAAGCGUUGUCCGGAAUUAUUGGGCGUAAAGCGCGCGCAGGUGGUUUCUUAAGUCUGAUGUGAAAGCCCCCGGCUCAACCGGGGAGGGUCAUUGGAAACUGGGAAACUUGAGUGCAGAAGAGGAUAGUGGAAUUCCAAGUGUAGCGGUGAAAUGCGUAGAGAUUUGGAGGAACACCAGUGGCGAAGGCGACUGUCUGGUCUGUAACUGACACUGAGGCGCGAAAGCGUGGGGAGCAAACAGGAUUAGAUACCCC
rnacentral:rRNA from 1 species